GCUGGGUGUGGUGGCACAUGCCUGUAAUCCCAGCUUCUCAGGAGGCUGAGGCAGUAGACUCGCUUGAAGCUGGGAGGCGGAGGUUGCAGUGAGCCGAGAUCAUGCCACUGCACUCCAGCCUGGGUGACAGACUCCAUCUCAAAAAAAAAAAAAAAAGACGGAGUCUCACCCUGUUGCUGCCUAGGCUGAAGUGCAGUGGCAUGAUCUCUGCUCAAUGCAACCUCUGCCUCCCGGAUUCAAGCAAUUCUCAUGCCUCA
rnacentral:sRNA from 1 species